UGCUGUGUUCAGUUCACUAACUUGGUUUACUAUGACAGAAUUAUAACUGGAAGAUUGGGUAAAAGGGCAGGUUUCUACUGUUCUUGGAAUUUAGGUGAAGAAGCACUUCCCGUGGCUUCCUAUUACUGCCAUCCAAGUUGAUGAAAGCUCAAAAGGGAUUGAAUUUAAAGUGGGGAUUUUUGUCUGAGAAGUUGCCUGUUUCUAUGUUCCGAGAGAUUCCAUCUUGUAGGGAUAAAAGACUUCCAGCAGUCUCUGCUCGCAUCAAUUUUAGAUGAUUUGAGCACAAUCAGGUCAACAGAAGAAAGGUGCUUACCUAUUUUACCAUUUGUAUUCACAGAGCAGCAACCAUGAGUAGUUCACCAUGUGUCCUCCCAAAUUAUAUAUGGAUGAACAUCGCUGUUGAAAAGUUUGCAUCCUUGCCUAUUAACUUCCCUUUCUUGGAUGAAGUAAAGGCUACUCCUUCAGUUGUCUUUGUUGAAUCUUCUCAAGGAAACUAGAGACAGAAUUUCUCGUUUUGUUUUCUUGUUGUCACUCUAGAAAUGCUCUCGGGUUCCAUGACAAGGUGCACAAGAUGGAACCUUAUAAGAUAUGAUCAGUAAGUUGCACGUGUACAUACCAUUAAGCCUUACAAUAGUCCUCAUAUGACGAAACAUUUGCUUAAUGGAACUUAUGACAUGUAUACGAGCCCUUAUAAAUAUCUUGUCAGAUAAGCUUCAGUACAUCAUUUAUCUCAUGUAAUGGACAACCAGAUGGAAGUACUCUACUUGAACAACAAAAUUGGACAACACUGACUCCGGUAUUUAUGCACCAUCAAGUGUUGAAUAUUCUACAGGGAGCAGCUUCUCGAGAUUUUCCUGGGACCGUGACUUCAACCACGCGCUUCGCCACCUCCACUGCCAUCUCCACCGCGCCCCUGCCUGCUCCCAAACUCCGGUUAUCUCUUUCCCUCAUUUUAUCUUUCUUUUAGCUGAGGACAGACAUUUAAUUUUUAGCUGAGGACAGAUAAUUGGUGCCUAUUUGGGAUACUGUGAAUUCGUAUUUUGCUACUCCUGACUGUCUACUUAAUUUUAUAUCAAAAUCGUUUGUGUUUGGAGAGUUUUGCUGUGUUGGUCUGUUUAAUUCAUAUUUGUGUGUUUGCUGUGUGUAGGUAGUCAUCGUUAAUUGUUUUGUUUGUCUGGUUGUCUGUUUCGUUAGUUGUCUGUAUUUGAAGUUGUGAUCGGGGACCCCUUAUUUAAUUGAGGUGCUGGUUGACUUAUUUUGAGUGUUUGUAUCUUGUUCUUGUCCUGUUUACUGGUGUCAAUGGCUAAAACAAACAAUCCACUUCGUCCCCACAACCCACUAUCCCUUUGAGUGGAUCUUCCCAAGCAACUGCUUCGGGCGGUCCCCGG